rnacentral:rRNA from 1 species
UGUGAGCUCGAUGAGUAGGGCGGGACACGUGGUAUCCUGUCUGAAUAUGGGGGGACCAUCCUCCAAGGCUAAAUACUCCUGACUGACCGAUAGUGAACCAGUACCGUGAGGGAAAGGCGAAAAGAACCCCGGCGAGGGGAGUGAAAAAGAACCUGAAACCGUGUACGUACAAGCAGUGGGAGCACGCUUAGGCGUGUGACUGCGUACCUUUUGUAUAAUGGGUCAGCGACUUAUAUUCUGUAGCAAGGUUAACCGAAUAGGGGAGCCGAAGGGAAACCGAGUCUUAACUGGGCGUUAAGUUGCAGGGUAUAGACCCGAAACCCGGUGAUCUAGCCAUGGGCAGGUUGAAGGUUGGGUAACACUAACUGGAGGACCGAACCGACUAAUGUUGAAAAAUUAGCGGAUGACUUGUGGCUGGGGGUGAAAGGCCAAUCAAACCGGGAGAUAGCUGGUUCUCCCCGAAAGCUAUUUAGGUAGCGCCUCGUGAAUUCAUCUCCGGGGGUAGAGCACUGUUUCGGCAAGGGGGUCAUCCCGACUUACCAACCCGAUGCAAACUGCGAAUACCGGAGAAUGUUAUCACGGGAGACACACGGCGGGUGCUAACGUCCGUCGUGAAGAGGGAAACAACCCAGACCGCCAGCUAAGGUCCCAAAGUCAUGGUUAAGUGGGAAACGAUGUGGGAAGGCCCAGACAGCCAGGAUGUUGGCUUAGAAGCAGCCAUCAUUUAAAGAAAGCGUAAUAGCUCACUGGUCGAGUCGGCCUGCGCGGAAGAUGUAACGGGGCUAAACCAUGCACCGAAGCUGCGGCAGCGACGCUGAUGCGUUGUUGGGUAGGGGAGCGUUCUGUAAGCCUGCGAAGGUGUGCUGUGAGGCAUGCUGGAGGUAUCAGAAGUGCGAAUGCUGACAUAAGUAACGAUAAAGCGGGUGAAAAGCCCGCUCGCCGGAAGACCAAGGGUUCCUGUCCAACGUUAAUCGGGGCAGGGUGAGUCGACCCCUAAGGCGAGGCCGAAAGGCGUAGUCGAUGGGAAACAGGUUAAUAUUCCUGUACUUGGUGUUACUGCGAAGGGGGGACGGAGAAGGCUAUGUUGGCCGGGCGACGGUUGUCCCGGUUUAAGCGUGUAGGCUGGUUUUCCAGGCAAAUCCGGAAAAUCAAGGCUGAGGCGUGAUGACGAGGCACUACGGUGCUGAAGCAACAAAUGCCCUGCUUCCAGGAAAAGCCUCUAAGCAUCAGGUAACAUCAAAUCGUACCCCAAACCGACACAGGUGGUCAGGUAGAGAAUACCAAGGCGCUUGAGAGAACUCGGGUGAAGGAACUAGGCAAAAUGGUGCCGUAACUUCGGGAGAAGGCACGCUGAUAUGUAGGUGAAGUCCCUCGCGGAUGGAGCUGAAAUCAGUCGAAGAUACCAGCUGGCUGCAACUGUUUAUUAAAAACACAGCACUGUGCAAACACGAAAGUGGACGUAUACGGUGUGACGCCUGCCCGGUGCCGGAAGGUUAAUUGAUGGGGUCAGCGCAAGCGAAGCUCUUGAUCGAAGCCCCGGUAAACGGCGGCCGUAACUAUAACGGUCCUAAGGUAGCGAAAUUCCUUGUCGGGUAAGUUCCGACCUGCACGAAUGGCGUAAUGAUGGCCAGGCUGUCUCCACCCGAGACUCAGUGAAAUUGAACUCGCUGUGAAGAUGCAGUGUACCCGCGGCAAGACGGAAAGACCCCGUGAACCUUUACUAUAGCUUGACACUGAACAUUGAGCCUUGAUGUGUAGGAUAGGUGGGAGGCUU